UACGUAGGGGGCAAGCGUUAUCCGGAUUUACUGGGUGUAAAGGGAGCGUAGGUGGCAUGGCAAGCCAGAAGUGAAAACCCGGGGCUUAACCCCGCGGAUUGCUUUUGGAACUGUCAGGCUGGAGUGCAGGAGGGGCAGGCGGAAUUCCUGGUGUAGCGGUGAAAUGCGUAGAUAUCAGGAGGAACACCGGUGGCGAAGGCGGCCUGCUGGACUGUAACUGACACUGAGGCUCGAAAGCGUGGGGAGCAAACAGG
rnacentral:rRNA from 1 species